rnacentral:misc_RNA from 1 species
GAACGCACCUUGCGCCCUUUGGUAUUCCGAAGGGCAUGCCUGUUUGAGUGUCAUUAAAUUAUCAACCUUGCUCGCUUUUACCGGCUUGAGCUGAGGCUUGGACGUGGGGGUUUUUGCUGGCUUCCUUCAGUGGAUGGUCUGCUCCCCUUAAAUUCAUUAGCGGGAUCUCUUGUGGACCGUCACUUGGUGUGAUAAUUAUCUAUGCCGUUUGACCUUGAAGCAAAUUUAUGGGACCCUGCUUAUAACCGUCUCUUACCGGGACAAUUUAAUAACAUCUUGACCUCAAAUCAGGUAGGACUACCCGCUGAACUUA